GACGAACGCUGGCGGCGUGCUUAACACAUGCAAGUCGAGCGGUAAGGCCCUUUCGGGGGUACACGAGCGGCGAACGGGUGAGUAACACGUGGGUGACCUGCCCUCAGCUCUGGGAUAAGCCUGGGAAACCGGGUCUAAUACUGGAUAUGACUCCAUGACGCAUGUUGUGGGGUGGAAAGCCUUGUGCGGCUGAGGAUGGGCCCGCGGCCUAUCAGCUUGUUGGUGGGGUGAUGGCCUACCAAGGCGACGACGGGUAGCCGGCCUGAGAGGGCGACCGGCCACACUGGGACUGAGACACGGCCCAGACUCCUACGGGAGGCAGCAGUGGGGAAUCUUGCGCAAUGGGCGAGAGCCUGACGCAGCGACGCCGCGUGAGGGAUGACGGCCUGGU
rnacentral:rRNA from 1 species